AUGAACCAAAAACGACUAAAAAUCAGUUAAAUUAUAAAGACAAGUUAAAGGGGUCGUGUGCGCGCGAUUCUGGAAGUUGUUCUGUUUCGAGGGUUAUCUAAGUUUAUUCACAGGGAAUCAGAUUUAUAUGUCUUCAGGCCGAGAAGAAUUAAACUGAGCUUAUAGACCAAGGAUCUAGCCCAAGACGGUAGAGAUCGAGUUCCCGGUGCCUGAUAGACUGCCUUAGUCUGCUGAAGCUCCGUUAUCGAUUGCCAGUACGUGUUUCGAGUUGGGCAUAGAGUCUGUUGUGUUAUGAUGUAUAUACACCCUUGUAUGUUAUAGAUACUCCACAGUUUGUAUAAGCUUUAGGAGUUGUAGUUGUGUAAAUUUUGUUGGUUAUAUUUUGAUUAAGGUGUCUUUAGGUUUACCCGUGAAAUCAGUAAAUUUUGAGGUACACUUCAUGUAUGUGUUUGACUAGCCUAGGACCCGCUGUGUUUUGUUGCAUGUAUAAUAGUUUAUAUACUAGAUUGGCAAGUUCAUCACAUGAAAGUUUUAAUCAGAGUCGACAGAUAUAGGUACAGAAAAGCGUUGUUCGUCGGUUUCAUGCCAUCUUUCAGUCUAAGGUAGCAGGUAGUCCGAGAGGGGGUGUGACAUUUCACAUGUCAAAAUGUGAUUCCUA